UGGGACGGCGCGCCAGAAGGAGCCACGGUCUGAGCCCGGCUAGGCCGGGAUUGACAGCCAGGACGGCUGUCCUGGGGGCGAGCACUCAGUGGGCGCGUUGGCCGCCGGAGUCCUUCGGCUACCCCACAUCUGUCAAUGAGAUCCCGGCAUGCAUCGGCCUGACUGCCAGCCCCGGGCGGACGGUCACUCAGAGACCUGGACCAAUCGGCCAUCCAGUUAGUUACACACAUCAGCUCUGUGCAAAGUGCUGUCAGUUCUCAAUCUCAGGGAAUUUGUGCAGCUGUGAGGCAUGAACCGCUCGCCUUCUGACGCCGAGGAAACUCGAGUUCUGAGACAGAGGACUCGUCCAGAGUCACAUUGCUGGAGGACGUCAGGACUUGAACUCAGAGGAGGCAAAGUUUAUUUGGGGUUGCCGGUUUCAGAAGCCUCCAUCUGUAGACUCCAUUCCUUGGGGCCUGAGGUGAGACAGAACAUCGUGGUGGGAGUACGCGGUGGAGGAAAGCGGCUCAGGACCCGGCAAUCAGGAAGCAGAGAGAUACACCACCCUCCAGGAACUUCAAUGAGUUUGGCUAUCUGGAAGUUUCCAGAACCCUGACCUUUGGAUUUUUAUGGAGGCUUCAUUCAUCUAGACUUCAAAACCUCUGCUUUCUAGGGAAUACAGAGUGAGCUACCAGGAGAUUUUCUGAUUGUCAUUUGGCCAGUCUUCGGUUACUGUGGUUUCAUUUCCUCAACUGCUGCAUUUAUCUCUGUAUCUCCUGAGCCCGACACCUGCUUUAUGAUGGCAUCUGACUCCGUGGCUUGGUCAUUGUCAGUCUGUUGAUGAAAGGUGAGGCCCCUCUCAGCGUGCUGCAGAGCAGAGCUCUGACAUGGCAAACUGAAUCCCAAGCUUCUGUAGUGGUGACUUUGCCCAGAGAAGCACAGCUGCGUGCGUCCUUCUCAGGCAGUUCAGACUUCUCAUGGAGAUGCCCUUCUGCACCCUGGGUCAUCUGGUGAGUGCUGAAGCUAACCCAGGGCUGGGAGAGGGUAGGUGCUGGAGGCUCUGGUUCCACCCUGGACCCAGGGUUUGCUCCUCCUGCUGGUACCUCUAUUCACUGCUGGCGGCACUGCACAAACCUUUAAUAAAGUGUCUGUCAGGGUUUUCCAAGAACCGUCUCAACAGUCAGUCCUGCU